GAGUUUGAUUAUGGCUCAGGAUGAACGCUAGCUACAGGCUUAACACAUGCAAGUCGAGGGGCAUCAUGGUAUUAGCUUGCUAAUACUGAUGGCGACCGGCGCACGGGUGAGUAACACGUAUCCAACCUGGCUUUCACUCAGGGAUAGCCCAUCGAAAGAUGGAUUAAUACUUGAUGGUAUAUACAUUUCGCAUGUUUUGUAUAUUAAAGAUUUAUCGGUGAUAGAUGGGGAUGCGUACCAUUAGUUUGUUGGCGGGGUAACGGCCCACCAAGACUUCGAUGGUUAGGGGUUCUGAGAGGAAGGUCCCCCACAUUGGAACUGAGACACGGUCCAAACUCCUACGGGAGGCAGCAGUGAGGAAUAUUGGUCAAUGGACGUAAGUCUGAACCAGCCAAGUAGCGUGAAGGAUGACUGCCCUCUGGGUUGUAAACUUCUUUUAUAUGUGAAUAAAUUUUCCUACGUGUAGGUU
rnacentral:rRNA from 1 species